ACUUAUGGUGGAGAGAUGGCUGAGUGGUUGAUAGCUCCGGUCUUGAAAACCGGCAUAGUUCUUUAUUCAGAACUAUCGAGGGUUCGAAUCCCUCUCUCUCCU
rnacentral:tRNA from 1 species